UGGGGGAAUUUUGGACAAUGGGCGAAAGCCUGAUCCAGCAAUGCCGCGUGUGUGAAGAAGGCCUUCGGGUUGUAAAGCACUUUUGUCCGGAAAGAAAUCCUUGGCUCUAGUACAGUCGGGGGAUGACGGUACCGGAAGAAUAAGCACCGGCUAACUACGUGCCAGCAGCCGCGGUAAUACGUAGGGUGCAAGCGUUAAUCGGAAUUACUGGGCGUAAAGCGUGCGCAGGCGGUUUGCUAAGACCGAUGUGAAAUCCCCGGGCUCAACCUGGGAACUGCAUUGGUGACUGGCAGGCUAGAGUAUGGCAGAGGGGGGUAGAAUUCCACGUGUAGCAGUGAAAGUGCGUAGAGAUGUGGAGGAAUACCGAUGGCGAAGGCAGCCCCCCUGGGGCCAAAUACUGACGCUCAUGCACGAAAGCGUGGGGAGCAAACAGGAUUAGAUACCCUGGUAGUCCACGCCCUAAACGAUGUCAACUAGUUGUUGGGGAUUCAUUUCCUUAGUAACGUAGCUAACGCGUGAAGUUGACCGCCUGGGGGAGUACGGUCGCAAGAUUAAAACUCAAAUGAAUUGACGGGGUCAUAGCUGUUUCCU
rnacentral:rRNA from 1 species